rnacentral:rRNA from 1 species
AUUGAACGCUGGCGGCAUGCCUUACACAUGCAAGUCGAACGGCAGCACGGGUGCUUGCACCUGGUGGCGAGUGGCGAUCGGGUGAGUAAUACAUCGGAACAUGUCCUGUAGUGGGGGAUAGCCCGGCGAAAGCCGGAUUAAUACCGCAUACGAUCUACGGAUGAAAGCGGGGGACCUUCGGGCCUCGCGCUAUAGGGUUGGCCGAUGGCUGAUUAGCUAGUUGGUGGGGUAAAGGCCUACCAAGGCGACGAUCAGUAGCUGGUCUGAGAGGACGACCAGCCACACUUGGACUGAGACACGGCCCAGACUCCUACGGGAGGCAGCAGUGGGGAAUUUUGGACAAUGGGCGAAAGCCUGAUCCAGCAAUGCCGCGUGUGUGAAGAAGGCCUUCGGGUUGUAAAGCACUUUUGUCCGGAAAGAAAUCCUUGGCUCUAAUACAGUCGGGGGAUGACGGUACCGGAAGAAUAAGCACCGGCUAACUACGUG